rfam:Brassica oleracea var. oleracea cultivar TO1000 chromosome C6, whole genome shotgun sequence
GGGAAAUGAGGAUCGGGUUUAUUCUCGCAUAAAUGCGUGAAGAGUGUUCCGCUCAAACCUUUUACGACAAUUGGGCGCUCCAAUUUUCAUAUCAUCUGAUCCC